GGCACGGAGUGCGGUUAUUUUGUGAUGCGGUACAUUUUUGACGUACUCGCUUCAUAUUUUGGUUCGUUGGAUAUGGACAAAGUUGCUCAAACCUUUACCAAAGAUCCUUAUACGGAGGAUCAAAUCAAUGAGGUGAAGAAUAAGUGGGCAAGAUACUUUGUUGAUGAGUGCAUUGCAUAGGUUAGUUAGUUUAUGUUAAUAUUCUUUUUUUUGUUCUAACUUUAGACGAACAUAUACAUUAUUGCAACUUGUACAACCAACUUUGUAGUGAUGGAUUAUCAUGAUAUAUAAAUAUUUUUGUUGGA